AAAAUUGAAUCUUGAGCAGUCCUGUAGAAGUUGUGAGGCAGUACCCAAUUGCAGGUGACUAACACCACUUCUAUUUCUGUAUUACAAUGUAGGAAGCCAAGGCUGAUUUGGCACUUUUGCACAAUAAACCUGCUUCUCGCCCUCCACCAAAAAUCAGAGGAAAAGAAAGUGAUCGGUAAAUAUACUGGAAGGUAAGUGAUGACAAGUGAAAAGCCAGACACAAACAAAUUGUUGACCUUUUUUUUAAAAAAAAUAUUUAAAAAUUCCCAAAAUUGAUAAGCUUUUUUUGCUUUUUUUUUUAAAAGAUGCAAAAAACCCACAUAAUUUUGGGUUAUGCUGCUGAAAAUCCAGGAUGAACGGCCGUUUUUCAGAAAUUCCCCAAGGACAUCACUUCCGCCAUUGUCCAUUCUGAGAAAAUCCGGACGUAUGGCAACCCUAGUCCAGCACUUGAGAAGACAUGCACAAAUUGCCACAAAGCAAAACCACCAGUAGUGAAACCUCCCUGGAUUCAUGUCUCAAAUCCAAGGCCAGC